AACGUAGGAGACAAACGUUAUCCGGAGUUACUGGGCGUAAAGGGCGUGUAGGUGGUUUUGUAAGUCUGGCGUGAAAUUUUUCGUCUUAACCGGGAAAGGUCGUCGGAUACUGCAAGGCUAGAGGACGGUAGAGGCGUGUGGAAUUCCGGGUGUAGUGGUGAAAUGCGUAGAGAUCCGGAGGAACACCAGUGGCGAAGGCGACACGCUGGGCCGUACCUGACACUGAUGCGCGACAGCAUGGGGAGCAAACGAGG
rnacentral:rRNA from 1 species